AUUGAACGCUGGCGGCAGGCCUAACACAUGCAAGUCGAACGAGUGGCGGACGGGUGAGUAAUGUCUGGGAAACUGCCCGAUGGAGGGGGAUAACUACUGGAAACGGUAGCUAAUACCGCAUACCAUCGGAUGUGCCCAGAUGGGAUUAGCUAGUAGGUGGGGUAACGGCUCACCUAGGCGACGAUCCCUAGCUGUACUGAGCGGUUGACCGGCCACACUGGAACUGGGACACGGUCCAGACUCCUACGUGAGGUAGCAGUGGGGAAUAUUGCCCAAUGGGCGCAGGCCUGAUGCCGCCAUGCCGCGUGUAUGAAGAAGGCCUUCGGGUUGUAAAGUACUUUCAGCGAGGAGGCGUUACUCGCAGAGAAAGCACCGGCUAACUCCGUGCCAGCAGCCGCGGUAAUAC
rnacentral:rRNA from 1 species